rnacentral:rRNA from 1 species
GACGAACGCUGGCGGCGUGCCUAAUACAUGCAAGUCGAGCGCAGGAAACUGACGGAACUCUUCGGAGGGAAGGCAGUGGAAUGAGCGGCGGACGGGUGAGUAACACGUAAGGAACCUGCCUCAAGGAUUGGGAUAACUCCGAGAAAUCGGAGCUAAUACCGGAUAGUUCAACGGACCGCAUGGUCCGCUGAUGAAAGGCGCUCCGGCGUCACCUUGAGAUGGCCUUGCGGUGGAUUAGGUAGUUGGUGGGGUAACGGCCCACCAAGGCGACGAUGCAUAGCCGACCUGAGAGGGUGAUCGGCCACACUGGGACUGAGACACGGCCCAGACUCCUACGGGAGGCAGCAGUAGGGAAUCUUCCACAAUGGACGAAAGUCUGAUGGAGCAACGCCGCGUGAGUGAUGAAGGUUUUCGGAUCGUAAAACUCUGUUGUAAGGGAAGAACACGUACGAGAGGAAAUGCUCGUACCUUGACGGUACCUUACGAGAAAGCCACGGCUAACUACGUGCCAGCCGCCGCCGUAA